CUACGGGAUGCUGCAGUGAGGAAUAUUGCACAAUGGGGGGAACCCUGAUGCAGCAACGCCGCGUGGAGGAUGACGCAUUUCGGUGUGUAAACUCCUUUUAUAUGUCAAGAAAAUGACGGUAGCAUAUGAAUAAGCACCGGCUAACUCCGUGCCAGCAGCCGCGGUAAUACGGAGGGUGCAAGCGUUACUCGGAAUCACUGGGCGUAAAGGACGCGUAGGCGGGUUGGAAAGUCAGGUGUGAAAUACUACAGCUUAACUGUAGAACUGCACUUGAAACUUCUAAUCUAGAGUAUGGGAGGGGGAGAUGGAAUUAGUGGUGUGGGGGUAAAAUCCGUAGAUAUCACUAGGAAUACCUAAAGCGAAGGCGAUCUCCUGGAACAUUACUGACGCUAAGGCGUGAAAGCGUGGGGAGCAAACAGGAUUAGAUACCCCGGUAGUC
rnacentral:rRNA from 1 species